CCUACGGGUGGCAGCAGUGAGGAAUAUUGGUCAAUGGGCGGGAGCCUGAACCAGCCAAGCCGCGUGAGGGAAGAAGGUACAGCGUAUCGUAAACCUCUUUUGUCAGGGAACAAAGGCGGGGACUAGUCCCCGGAUGAGGGUACCUGAAGAAAAAGCAUCGGCUAACUCCGUGCCAGCAGCCGCGGUAAUACGGAGGAUGCGGGCGUUAUCCGGAUUUAUUGGGUUUAAAGGGUGCGCAGGGGGCCUGUUAAGUCAGCGGGAAAAGCCCGGGGCUCAACCCCGGCGAGCCGUUGAAACUGGCGGGCUGGAGUUGGAGAGAGGUACGCGGAAUGCGCGGUGUAGCGGUGAAAUGCUUAGAGAUCGCGCAGAACCCCGAUUGCGAAGGCAGCGUACCGGCUCCACACUGACGCUGAGGCACGAAAGCGUGGGUAUCGAACAGGAUUAGAUACCCCAGUAGUC
rnacentral:rRNA from 1 species